AAAGUUCACGUUUCCCGGAAAGAACGAAAAUUCAAAUUUCAAGCCUAAAUUACAAAGCAUGACACAAUUGUCCACACUCUAUACAAAAAAAGUUGGUGUCACGCUCUCAGAGAAAAAAAAACAAGGGAGAAAUUAAACAGGAUGAUUUCAAGCACACAGACACACUUCCGGAUUCGGUCGAAUGGUCAAAUACUAAAACAAAACUAUGAAAUUAAAUUUUUGACAUUUAAAAAUCAACUCCCAGAAAAUCCCGAUCACUGAUCGUAGUAACCAACCAAAAUCCACCCCUCGAAAAAACAACGAUCACCACGGCCAGCCGUAACCAUGGUAGCCAUAGUUACCCGAAAUCAACAAAUCAACAGGCUGAAAAGUUAUAGUGGUCGAGUGCAGUCCCAUCAACCAGGCAUACCCGCUUGAGAGGUUGUAGUGAACGGACGCUACUAAUUUUUCUCUUUCUCGUUUCAGGAAUCAUCACGAUGGGAGCGAAAAUGUCUCGCCGAAAUGGGCGUAGAGCGGCCACGGUUACUCUGGAUGACGAUAUGCAGACGGGGGGGACGGAACUCGACCGGGUUGCGAGUAGCGGACGGGUCGAUGCUAAGCCGGAGGUUCCGGGACCGGAUCUGCCGGUUGUCGAACCAAAUUUGAAUAAAGUUUCUUUUGAAAAUUACGACAAUCCGGCAGAUUUGGUUCUGGAAUCGCCGUCGGUAAUUAAUAUUUCAUUAAAUAAUUGUUUGGACAUGACUGCGGCGGUAUCCAUCUCGGAACCGCCUGCAGAUGAAAAUUUUUCUUUACAGGUUGUGACGACGACAUUCGAGGAGGUGGUUCCAAUGCCGGAUCCACCGAUAGAGGAGCAAAAUUUGAUGAAUUGCGAUUUGGAAAUUUCCGAAAAAUCGGUGGAUCCGGCAUCGGAGCCACCGAAGACCGACGACGACUCAAAUACGCUUUCGAAUCCAACGGCGGAGGUGGUUUCCACCGUGGAACCGCCCGCUGACCUUAAUUCAUGUAAACUUGAAAUCUCUCUUUCAGAUAACGAUCCGGAACCACUUUCGGAACAUACAAAUCUAAAUUUAGAAACUAAUUCUCCCCAAAUUCUAGAUGAUCCCGGACAAUGUUCGUACUCCGUUUCGGUCGAAAUUCCUCCGGAAGUGGUUCCGGGGCCACCACCAAAUUCCAAAUCUGACACAAAAUAUUUUUGGUGCUACGUUUGUCAAAAUUCAGGUACAAACACAUUGCCAUGGUUGCUUCGAUUGAAGUAUUCCAAGCCGGCAAUGUGUUUGAAAUAUUUGUUUACAGGCUCGAUGUGCUGCAUUGCUCUAGGGUUGCUUGUUUUUGUUUAACUAAUUUUUGUUGUUAUUAUUUAAUUGCAGCUUCACGUUUCUUGUUUCAUGAGCGAUUCUCUGUUGCUUACUGAUGAUGAUUUCCGUUAAUUGGAUUGGAACGAUUGGAGAUAUUUAGUGCAAUAAAUAGAAUUGACUGUACUUUUUGAGGAAGACGAUGAUGACGUGGAGAUGAUGAUACUACUGACCAUAUGAAUAUAUUUGAUGUUGAGAAGAUUAAGGCCGACUGGACGAUUAGGUCGAUGGCGAAGGAGCACGAUGGCGAAGACGCACGAUGGCUGCAGCGGAUGUUUGAAGACUUGAAGAUUUAUCAUAUUAAUGAAUUGUAAUAUAUUGAUUUGUAUUGAUAUUUGAAUUGUUUGGAAUAAACGAUACAAAAAAA